GAUGAACGCUGGCGGCGUGCUUAACACAUGCAAGUCGAACGAUGAAGCCCAGCUUGCUGGGUGGAUUAGUGGCGAACGGGUGAGUAACACGUGAGUAACCUGCCCUUAACUCUGGGAUAAGCCUGGGAAACUGGGUCUAAUACCGGAUAGGAGCGUCCACCGCAUGGUGGGUGUUGGAAAGAUUUAUCGGUUUUGGAUGGACUCGCGGCCUAUCAGCUUGUUGGUGAGGUAAUGGCUCACCAAGGCGACGACGGGUAGCCGGCCUGCGAGGGUGACCGGCCACACUGGGACUGAGACACGGCCCAGACUCCUACGGGAGGCAGCAGUGGGGAAUAUUGCACAAUGGGCGCAAGCCUGAUGCAGCGACGCCGCGUGAGGGAUGACGGCCUUCGGGUUGUAAACCUCUUUCAGUAGGGAAGAAGCGAAAGUGACGGUACCUGCAGAAGAAGCACCGGCUAACUACGUG
rnacentral:rRNA from 1 species